rnacentral:rRNA from 1 species
AGGGGGACAACAGUUGGAAACGACUGCUAAUACCGCAUACGAUCCAAUCUCGGCAUCGAGACUGGAUGAAAGGUGGCCUCUAUUUAUAAGCUAUCACUGAAGGAGGGGAUUGCGUCUGAUUAGCUAGUUGGAGGGGUAACGGCCCACCAAGGCGAUGAUCAGUAGCCGGUCUGAGAGGAUGAACGGCCACAUUGGGACUGAGACACGGCCCAG